GUGCUCUCUGUGGCACAAUAUAUACUAAAACUGGAAUGAUACAAAGAAGAUUAGCAUAGCCCCUAUGCAAGGAUGACAUACAAAUUCAUGAAGCAGUCCAUACUUUU
rnacentral:snRNA from 1 species